GGCGGCGGCGGCGGCGAAUCGAGCAGGCGCGGCGGGCAUGGCGGCGGCGGUGGAGAGCGUGGUGGUGGUCCACAACGUGGCGAAGCGGCACAACGUGGGGACACUGGCGCGGAGCGCGACGGCGUUCGGCGUCGCGGAGGUGGUCGUCGUCGGCCGCCGCGACGUCAGCGCCUUCGGCAGCCACGGCGCCACCUCACACCUCCGCUUCCGCCACUUCGCCUCCCUCGCCCUCGCCCGCGCCUACCUCAAGGAAGAGAGAGGGUGUGACAUUUGCGGCGUGGAGAUCACCGAAGACGCGAAGCCGGUGACCGCGCAUCCGUUCCAUCGGAGCACAGCGUUUCUCUUUGGCAAUGAGGGCACAGGACUCUCACAGAAAGAGUGUGAUAUCUGCGACUUCUUUGUCUACAUUCCUCAGUAUGGUGGUGGAACUGCAUCUCUCAAUGUUACCGUUGCAGCUUCAAUUGUUCUCCACCACUUUGGGGUCUGGGCUGGCUUUCCUGAACGAGGCCGAGAGGGCAACAAAUUCAUUGUGGCUGAUAGACCACAGGGGCAUUCAAGGGGCCUUUACUGCACAGACUCAAUUGAAGCAGUGAUUGAAGAGCGGAAAAUGCGAAAAGAAAAUGCAUGUGAUAUACUUGAGGAAAAUGGAGGCAGCCAUCCUCAGGAAUCAAAUGGCCUAGAUUUGAUGUUUACGGACUAGACAGUAUUGCAUCUCUGUUGUUGAAUCAAGUCACAGCUUAGGUGUCGAUGACACAAAUUCGCAAUACUACAAUGCAUGACAGGAAUCCCUUUCCAAGGGAAAGAAGUAGAACACUUUUUGUUUUUUUGCUAGCUUGGCAUGGAGAAGGUGCACCGACCUUUUUGUGAAGCCAUGGGGGAUGGUUAAUAGUGUACCUUGAAACCAAGGGUACAGGAAGUUGGAUGGUUUACUUCAAGGAUGAUUUUUCAACAUUAUCUUUGGGGAACUUGUAUUUUAUCUUCUAUUACGAAGCUUAUUUAUUGUUUGUUGCCAUCCUACGGGAUCUGAUUUUUUAUCCUUCAAGAUCAUGGAGGACCCCAGGCCAUGGGCUCACUCUUUGGUACUAGCAUCCUCGCCACUGAAUCAAUGGCAGGAGCAGCAACAGGGAGAAUUCCGUGGCUGUCUAUACAAUUCUGCUACAAAGAAUGAAUUAAUAAAGCACCCUAUUGGCUGUCUAUCCUUUGAAGUUUCAAGUUCCCCCUACAAAGGAUGAAUUAAUAAAGCGCCCUAUUGGCUGUCUAUACAAUUCUGCGUUGGGGGUAUCCAACUCUGUUGUUGAAUGGAGUCCCGUUGUCUGCUGACACAAACUUGCAGUAUAACAGCACAUAAUUGGGAUGUCUUUUGUUGACAGAGAAGUUGAACCCCAUGCGGCCAUGCAAAAUGAAAAAGGAAAAAAAAAAACAUUUGGAGUGGAAAAGGGGGUGGCAUAUA